CCUGUCUGUGCAUUAGUGGCUGAAGACAGAAGAUGGCACAUCCAUCCCAUGAAAUAUUAAUAAUUGACUGGUUGGACAAAUGGCAACAUGAAAACCAAGCACGGAUGAAGAGAUAAGAGAUCCAUCCCUUGGCCACCAGCCCAGCCCACUGCAUUUUUGUUCUGUCUGCAGAGGAAAGCAACCCCUUUCUUCCUAUGUCAGCAUGGAAACCAUUGACAGCCAACUUGAGGAAGUCUUUGGAAAUGUAUAGCAAGAAGCAUAAUAAGGAGGAGGCGGCACAAGGAGGUGCAAGCGCUCAAACGCCCUGUUUAAAGACACAGUUUUCAGGGGCUGCCAGGCAUAUGUGGUGGGACUGCUUGAUGGAAUCUAGAAAUUCUUUCUGGCCACGUAAUUCCCAGGCAUGCAGCAACUGGAGAGUGACUUUUCCCCCAAUCCUUGAAUGCAUCCUUACAUCAGCAGUUUCACCAAAUAUAGACAUCCAAAAAAUUCACCCUUAGUCUGAAGGGCAACCACAACUCCCAGAAUGUGCAUGCAGCAUUAGGAGGGUGACCUCUGCAUGAACACACCCAUACACCAGCAAUUUCCUGGACCACUUUCAUUGUCUACCAUGCACAUAAACACAACCCGGCUCACGUCUGCAAAGGAAAUUCAGCAACUACCAGCCACUCCAUCAGCCUCUCUCCCCACCAUUCACAGAUGUGCACCAGCUUCAGUCCACAAAUUUCUGCCAGGCUUCUGUUAGCCAGCUUCUGGAGGUAAACCUCCACCGGCUGACAUCCACAAACCUCAGUCAGCUUCCCUGUUGGGCCUCCACUUGCUUCUGAAUGUGAACUCCACCAACUUCCACCCGCUAGUGUCCACCAGCUUCCGAUGGGUCAGUCGCCAGACAUCAGCUGGCUUCUGGCCAUGGAUAUGAACCUCCUUCUGAUCAAAAACUCACCAACCACUCUGCAGAUCCACCACUAUUGAAUUUGCCUUCUCAUCCGUUUUGUCGUCAUCACCGCUCCCUGUCUUCCAAUUCACCUUUUCCAUGUUGUGGCAACCCUUAACUUAGCUAGCAGGGAAAGGUGGAAUGGUUAUCACAGUGCAGCUCAAAAAGGGAUUCUGAAAGUACUCAGGGGCAGUCUAUAUCUCCCCACUGGAUGGAGCACUGCACACUCAAGGAUAUGUGGAUCCCACCUUUCAAAGGCUCUUACAAACCCUUGGAUUUGAAUAAUUCUAACUGUACUGAAUGUCAGUUCCACUGCCCACUAUCCUCUGCUGUGGAAAAGCAAAAGGGGCAUAGGAAAGGGACCCAGGGAGGGGACCAAGGAAGGGAAUGGUCCUCACCUUUCUUAAGACCUGUGGUUCCCUUCAUUGCUUUCACAAAUGCUCUCCAAAAGACCUUGUCUAUUUCACACAUCCCUACAAUGCAAAAACACAAACAGUGAGUGGCAUGGCUCAUC